CCUACGGGUGGCAGCAGUGAGGAAUAUUGGUCAAUGGCCGUAAGGCUGAACCAGCCAAGUCGCGUGAAGGAAGAAGGAUCUAUGGUUUGUAAACUUCUUUUAUAGGGGAAUAAAGGUAUCCACGUGUGGAAAUUUGCAUGUACCCUAUGAAUAAGCAUCGGCUAACUCCGUGCCAGCAGCCGCGGUAAUACGGAGGAUGCGAGCGUUAUCCGGAUUUAUUGGGUUUAAAGGGUGCGUAGGUUGUUUUUUAAGUCAGCGGUGAAAGUUUGGGGCUCAACCAUAAAAUUGCAGUUGAAACUGGCAGACUUGAGUGUGUUUGAGGUAGGCGGAAUGCGUGGUGUAGCGGUGAAAUGCAUAGAUAUCACGAAGAACUCCGAUUGCGAAGGCAGCUUACUAGGCCAUAACUGACACUGAAGCACGAAAGCGUGGGGAUCAAACAGGAUUAGAUACCCUAGUAGUC
rnacentral:rRNA from 1 species